CCUACGGGAGGCAGCAGUGAGGAAUAUUGGUCAAUGGACGCAAGUCUGAACCAGCCAUGCCGCGUGCAGGAUGACGGCUCUAUGAGUUGUAAACUGCUUUUAUACGGGGGUAAACCGCGGUACGUGUCCCGUUUUGAAUGUAUCUUACGAAUAAGGAUCGGCUAACUCCGUGCCAGCAGCCGCGGUAAUACGGAGGAUCCGAGCGUUAUCCGGAUUUAUUGGGUUUAAAGGGUGCGUAGGCGGUUUGUUACGUUAGCGGUGAAAUGUCGGGGCUCAACCCCGAAACUGCCUCUAAUACUGUGGGACUUGAGAAUAUUUGAGGCAGGCGGAAUGUAUGGUGUAGCGGUGAAAUGCUUAGAGAUCACACAGAACACCGAUUGCGAAGGCAGCUUACCAAACUAUAUCUGACGUUGAGGCACGAAAGCGUGGGUAGCAAACAGGAUUAGAUACCCUGGUAGUC
rnacentral:rRNA from 1 species